rnacentral:misc_RNA from 1 species
AACACUGUUAACCUGCGGUACCUGCGGAAGGAUCAUUACAGAGUGUAAAAACUCCCAAAACCCAUGUGAACAUACCUUUUUGUUGCUUCGGCGGGAUCGCCCCGGGCGCCUUGUGUGCCCCGGAGUCAGGCGCCCGCCGGGGGACCCAAACUCUUGUUUUUAACGAGUAUCUUCUGAGUAACGUUUUUAAAUAAAUAAAAACUUUCAGCAACGGAUCU